GGGAAGUUGGCUCAGUGGUAGAGUACUUGCCUUGCAUGUAUGAGGUCUGGGUUCGAUUCCUCAUCAUCACA
rnacentral:tRNA from 1 species